UACGUAGGGGGCAAGCGUUGUCCGGAUUUAUUGGGCGUAAAGAGCGUGUAGGCGGCCAGGCAGGUCCGUUGUGAAAACUGGAGGCUCAACCUCCAGACGUCGAUGGAAACCGUCUGGCUAGAGUCCGGAAGAGGAGAGUGGAGUUCCUGGUGUAGCGGUGAAAUGCGCAGAUAUCAGGAAGAACACCCGUGGCGAAGGCGGCUCUCUGGGACGGUACUGACGCUGAGACGCGAAAGCUAGGGGAGCGAACAGG
rnacentral:rRNA from 1 species